rnacentral:rRNA from 1 species
CAUGCAAGUCGAGGGGCAGCAUUUCAGUUUGCUUGCAAACUGGAGAUGGCGACCGGCGCACGGGUGAGUAACACGUAUCCAACCUGCCGAUAACUCGGGGAUAGCCUUUCGAAAGAAAGAUUAAUACCCGAUGGNAUAAUCAGACCGCAUGGUCUUAUUAUUAAAGAAUUUCGGUUAUCGAUGGGGAUGCGUUCCAUUAGGCAGUUGGUGAGGUAACGGCUCACCAAACCUUCGAUGGAUAGGGGUUCUGAGAGGAAGGUCCCCCACAUUGGAACUGAGACACGGUCCAAACUCCUACGGGAGGCAGCAGUGAGGAAUAUUGGUCAAUGGGCGCAGGCCUGAACCAGCCAAGUAGCGUGAAGGAUGACUGCCCUAUGGGUUGUAAACUUCUUUUAUAUGGGAAUAAAGUUUUCCACGUGUGGAAUUUUGUAUGUACCAUAUGAAUAAGGAUCGGCUAACUCCGUGCCAGCAGCCGCGGUAAUACGGAGGAUCCGAGCGUUAUCCGGAUUUAUUGGGUUUAAAGGGAGCGUAGGUGGACAGUUAAGUCAGUUGUGAAAGUUUGCGGCUCAACCGUAAAAUUGCAGUUGAUACUGGCUGUCUUGAGUACAGUAGAGGUGGGCGGAAUUCGUGGUGUAGCGGUGAAAUGCUUAGAUAUCACGAAGAACUCCGAUUGCGAAGGCAGCUCACUGGACUGCAACUGACACUGAUGCUCGAAAGUGUGGGUAUCAAACAGGAUUAGAUACCCUGGUAGUCCACACAGUAAACGAUGAAUACUCGCUGUUUGCGAUAUACAGUAAGCGGCCAAGCGAAAGCAUUAAGUAUUCCACCUGGGGAGUACGCCGGCAACGGUGAAACUCAAAGGAAUUGACGGGGGCCCGCACAAGCGGAGGAACAUGUGGUUUAAUUCGAUGAUACGCGAGGAACCUUACCCGGGCUUAAAUUGCAUUUGAAUANUNUGGAAACAGNNUAGCCGNAAGGCAAAUGUGAAGGUGCUGCAUGGUUGUCGUCAGCUCGUGCCGUGAGGUGUCGGCUUAAGUGCCAUAACGAGCGCAACCCUUAUCUUUAGUUACUAACAGGUCAUGCUGAGGACUCUAGAGAGACUGCCGUCGUAAGAUGUGAGGAAGGUGGGGAUGACGUCAAAUCAGCACGGCCCUUACGUCCGGGGCUACACACGUGUUACAAUGGGGGGUACAGAAGGCAGCUACCUGGUGACAGGAUGCUAAUCCCAAAAGCCUCUCUCAGUUCGGAUCGAAGUCUGCAACCCGACUUCGUGAAGCUGGAUUCGCUAGUAAUCGCGCAUCAGCCAUGGCGCGGUGAAUACGUUCCCGGGCCUUGUACACACCGCCCGUCAAGCCAUGAAAGCCGGGGGUACCUGAAGUACGUAACCGCAAGAG